CUCUCGGUAGCCAAGUUGGUUUAAGCGCAGACUGUAAAUCUUGAGAUCGGGCGUUCGACUCGCCCCCGGGAGA
rnacentral:tRNA from 1 species